UACAGAGGUCUCAAGCGUUGUUCGGAUUCAUUGGGCGUAAAGGGUGCGUAGGUGGCGCCGUAAGUCGGGUGUGAAAUUUCGGAGCUUAACUCCGAAACUGCAUUCGAUACUGCGGUGCUUGAGGACUGGAGAGGAGACUGGAAUUCAUGGUGUAGCAGUGAAAUGCGUAGAGAUCAGUGGAAGGAACCAGUGGCGAAGGCGGGUCUCUGGACAGUUCCUGACACUGAGACGAAGGCCAGGGGAGCAAACGGGAUUAGAACCUACCGUAGUCA
rnacentral:rRNA from 1 species